CAUGUCUAAGUAUAAACUUACUACAAGUGAAACCGCGAAUGGCUCAUUAAAUCAGUUAUGGUUUAUUAGAUCGUCCCAACCACAUGGAUAACUGUGGUAAUUCUAGAGCUAAUACAUGCUGAAACGUCGAAUCGCGAGGUUCGACUGCUUUUAUUAGAACAAAAACUAACAGUUUUUGUGGUGACUCUGGAUAACUUUGUGCCGAUCGCAUGGUCUCGUACCGGCGACGUAUCUUUCAAAUGUCUGCCUUAUCAACUGUCGAUGGUAGGUUAUAUGCCUACCAUGGUUGUAACGGGUAACGGAGAAUCAGGGUUCGAUUCCGGAGAGGGAGCCUGAGAAACGGCUACCACAUCCAAGGAAGGCAGCAGGCGCGCAAAUUACCCACUCCCGGCUCGGGGAGGUAGUGACGAUAAAUAACAACGCAGGUCUCAAACGAGACCCUGUAAUUGGAAUGAGAUCACUUUAAAUCCUUUAACGAGGAUCUAUUGGAGGGCAAGUCUGGUGCCAGCAGCCGCGGUAAUUCCAGCUCCAAAAGCGUAUAUUAAAGUUGUUGCAGUUAAAAAGCUCGUAGUUGGAUCUCGGGUAACGGGAGGAGGCCCGCUUAACCGCGAUCGCUUCCUCGUCCGACCUAUCAUUCGUCCUGGGCUAGGUGCUCUUCACCGGGUGUCUAGCUUAGAACGGAACGUUUACUUUGAAAAAAUUAGAGUGCUCAAAGCAGGCUCGAAGCCUCGAAUAUCGGUGCAUGGAAUAAUGGAAUAGGACCUCGGUUCUAUUUUGUUGGUUUUCGGAAUCCGAGGUAAUGAUUAAGAGGAACGGACGGGGGCAUCCGUACUGUGGCGCUAGAGGU
rnacentral:rRNA from 1 species